rnacentral:rRNA from 1 species
AUUGAACGCUGGCGGCAGGCCUAACACAUGCGAGUCGAGCGGAUGAAGGGAGCUUGCUCCUGGAUUCAGCGGCGGACGGGUGAGUAAUGCCUAGGAAUCUGCCUGGUAGUGGGGGAUAACGUCCGGAAACGGGCGCUAAUACCGCAUCCGUCCUGAGGGAGAAAGUGGGGGAUCUUCGGACCUCACGCUAUCAGAUGAGCCUAGGUCGGAUUAGCUAGUUGGUGGGGUAAAGGCCUACCAAGGCGACGAUCCGUAACUGGUCUGAGAGGAUGAUCAGUCACACUGGAACUGAGACACGGUCCAGACUCCUACGGGAGGCAGCAGUGGGGAAUAUUGGACAAUGGGCGAAAGCCUGAUCCAGCCAUGCCGCGUGUGUGAAGAAGGUCUUCGGAUUGUAAAGCACUUUAAGUUGGGAGGAAGGGCAGUAAGUUAAUACCUUGCUGUUUUGACGUUACCAACAGAAUAAGCACCGGCUAACUUCGUG